AUUCACUCCCCAAAUGCAGGAGGAAGAAGGGACAAGGCGGGUAGGUAAAAGGAGAUUGCGGGCUGUAGUGUUUUGAGUGUGGAUUUCAGCAAUACUGAGUCACUAAUUUUUAAAAAUUACUUUAUUUUUAUUGGAAAGGCA